rnacentral:rRNA from 1 species
GACGAACGCUGGCGGCGUGCCUAAUACAUGCAAGUCGAACGAACUCUGGUAUUGAUUGGUGCUUGCAUCAUGAUUUACAUUUGAGUGAGUGGCGAACUGGUGAGUAACACGUGGGAAACCUGCCCAGAAGCGGGGGAUAACACCUGGAAACAGAUGCUAAUACCGCAUAACAACUUGGACCGCAUGGUCCGAGUUUGAAAGAUGGCUUCGGCUAUCACUUUUGGAUGGUCCCGCGGCGUAUUAGCUAGAUGGUGGGGUAACGGCUCACCAUGGCAAUGAUACGUAGCCGACCUGAGAGGGUAAUCGGCCACAUUGGGACUGAGACACGGCCCAAACUCCUACGGGAGGCAGCAGUAGGGAAUCUUCCACAAUGGACGAAAGUUUGAUGGAGCAACGCCGCGUGAGUGAAGAAGGGUUUCGGCUCGUAAAACUCUGUUGUUAAAGAAGAACAUAUCUGAGAGUAACUGUUCAGGUAUUGACGGUAUUUAACCAGAAAGCCACGGCUAACUACGUGCCAGCAGCCGCGGUAAUACGUAGGUGGCAAGCGUUGUCCGGAUUUAUUGGGCGUAAAGCGAGCGCAGGCGGUUUUUUAAGUCUGAUGUGAAAGCCUUCGGCUCAACCCGAAGAAGUGCAUCGGAAACUGGGAAACUUGAGUGCAGAAGAGGACAGUGGAACUCCUUGUGUAGCGGUGAAAUGCGUAGAUAUAUGGAAGAACACAGGUGGCGAAAGCCGGCUGUCUGGUCUGUAACUGACGCUGAGGCUCGAAAGUAUGGGUAGCAAACAGGAUUAGAUACCCUGGUAGUCCAUACCGUAAACGAUGAAUGCUAAGUGUUGGAGGGUUUCCGCCCUUCAGUGCUGCAGCUAACGCAUUAAGCAUUCCGCCUGGGGAGUACGGCCGCAAGGCUGAAACUCAAAGGAAUUGACGGGGGCCCGCACAAGCGGUGGAGCAUGUGGUUUAAUUCGAAGCUACGCGAAGAACCUUACCAGGUCUUGACAUACUAUGCAAAUCUAAGAGAUUAGACGUUCCCUUCGGGGACAUGGAUACAGGUGGUGCAUGGUUGUCGUCAGCUCGUGUCGUGAGAUGUUGGGUUAAGUCCCGCAACGAGCGCAACCCUUAUUAUCAGUUGCCAGCAUUAAGUUGGGCACUCUGGUGAGACUGCCGGUGACAAACCGGAGGAAGGUGGGGAUGACGUCAAAUCAUCAUGCCCCUUAUGACCUGGGCUACACACGUGCUACAAUGGAUGGUACAACGAGUUGCGAACUCGCGAGAGUAAGCUAAUCUCUUAAAGCCAUUCUCAGUUCGGAUUGUAGGCUGCAACUCGCCUACAUGAAGUCGGAAUCGCUAGUAAUCGCGGAUCAGCAUGCCGCGGUGAAUACGUUCCCGGGCCUUGUACACACCGCCCGUCACACCAUGAGAGUUUGUAACACCCAAAGUCGGUGGGGUAACCUUUUAGGAACCAGCCGCCUAAGGUGGGACAGAUGAUUAGGGUG